rnacentral:rRNA from 1 species
AUAAGUUUUUGUUUUAUAAUUGUAAAAGAAUUAAAAUUAUUUAAAAGUAUUGUUGUAUUAGUACCUUUUGUAUAAGGGUUUUUCAAGAAAGUUUUAUAUAUUUAUGCCUCUCGAAAAAAAAAAUGCUAUCAUAUUUGUAGGUUGUAACGUUUCAUAGUUAUAGGUAAGUUUAUGAUAAUAGCUAGAUACUAUUUGCUUUUUUUAAUAUCUAGUUGGCUUAUAAAAGUAUUUAGUACUGCAGUUAAGUUUAAUGUGUUAAGUUGAUUGGGUUAAGCUGAUCUUCUAAAUUUUAGUGAGAUAAUUUUUUUUAGAUUAAUUUAGUAGUCUUUAUAUUAGGCAUCUUGUACACUGUUAUAAAUAAGUUAAAGAUUUGUUUAUAAUUUUUAAGUUUUGUCAUUUUAGUUUAAUAGGCCUAUUCUUAUUAAAGAAGUAAUAAUGAUAAAAAUAAGUAGAAAUAUAGGUUUAAAAUAGCAUCUUUACUGGAUAGAAUGUUACUUAAUUUUAAAUUUUAUAGUUAUUUUAAUUAAAGAAUUCGGCAAAUAAUGUGUUUAUGACUGUUUAACAAAAACAUUUCUUUUUGUAUUUAUAAGAAGUAUGCCCUGCCCGGUGAGAAAUUAACGGCGGCCUUAACUUGAGGGUCCAAAGGUAGCAUAAUAAUUCGAUUUUUAAUUGAGGUCUAGUAUGAAAGGGUAUACAUUAAACACGCUGUCUCAAAAAAAUAGAUUGAAAUUAAUUUUAAAGUGAAGAAGCUUUAAUAGUUAAGAAAGACGACAAGACCCUAGAAGCUUCAUUUUUUUUUGUAAUGUUUUAUAAAAAUAAUUUUGUUGGGGCAACAGGGUAAGAACAUAUUACCUUUUAUAUUUUUACUUACUAGUUUUAUCUUUUUUAUUGAAUUUGAUAAGCUACUCUAGGGAUAACAGCGCAAUCUUUUCUGAUAGUUGGUAUUGACUAAAAGGUUUGCGACCUCGAUGUUGGCUUUAGGUGACCUAAAAGUGUAGAAGCAUUUAUGAGUGGAUCUGUUCGAUCUUUAAAUCCUAACAUGAGCUGAGUUCAGACCGGCGUGAGCUAGGUCAGUUUCUAUCUUCUUAAUUAGCUAAAAUAGGACGGUUUGGUACGAAAGGAUUCUCUAACCAGAAAUAUUCUUUGUGUUUUUAUUAUUUG